CAAGUAUGAAAGACGGUUGCGAGUCCAUAGGACUCGAGGAAAGUCCGAGCUCCAUAGGGCAGGAUGCCAGAUAACGUCUGGCGAGGGUAACCUUAGGGAAAGUGCCAUAGAAAAGAAAACCGCCACGUCAGUGGUAAGGGUGGAAAGGUGAGGUAAGAGCUCACCAGCAGUUUGGUAACAGGCUGGCUCGGUAAACCCCAUCCGGAGCAAGACCGAAUAGGGAAGGGUUAAGGGUGGUCCCGCCUACCUUCCGGGUUGUGUCGCUCGAGCG
rnacentral:RNase_P_RNA from 1 species